rnacentral:rRNA from 1 species
UUGGAGGGCAAGUCUGGUGCCAGCAGCCGCGGUAAUUCCAGCUCCAAUAGCGUAUAUUAAAGUUGUUGCAGUUAAAAAGCUCGUAGUUGAAUUUCGGGAUCAGUACGCUGGUCGUGCCUUUGGUAUGUACUGGUGUCACUGAUUCCUCCCUUCUGAAGAACCGUUAUGCCAUUUAUUUGGUGUGGCGGGAAAUCAGGACUGUUACUUUGAAAAAAUUAGAGUGUUUAAAGCAGGCUCGCGCUUGAAUACAUUAGCAUGGAAUAAUGAAAUAGGACGUUCGAUCCUAUUUUGUUGGUUUCUAGGAUUGACGUAAUGAUUAAUAGGGAUAGUUGGGGGCAUUAGUAUUCAAUUGUCAGAGGUGAAAUUCUUGGAUUUAUUGAAGACUAACUACUGCGAAAGCAUUUGCCAAGGAUGUUUUCAUUAAUCAAGAACGAAAGUUAGGGGAUCGAAGACGAUCAGAUACCGUCGUAGUCUUAACCAUAAACUAUGCCGACUAGGGGAUCGGGAUGAUGUUAAUUUUUAAUGACUCAUUCGGC